UACGAAGGGGGCUAGCGUUGUUCGGAAUACUGGGCGUAAAGCGCGCGCAGGCGGUCUUCCAAGUCAGUGGUGAAAGCCCGGAGCUCAACUCCGGAACUGCCAUUGAAACUGUUGGACUUGAGUACGAGAGAGGUGAGUGGAAUUCCCAGUGUAGAGGUGAAUUCGUAGAUAUUGGGAAGAACACCGGUGGCGAAGGCGGCUCACUGGCUCGUAACUGACGCUCAGGCGCGACGCGUGGGGAGCAAAC
rnacentral:rRNA from 1 species